GACGAACGUUGGCGGCGUGCUUAAUACAUGCAAGUCAACUGAAGCAGUGGUAGCAAUCUCGCUGUGGAGGUGGCGCACGGGUGAGUAACACGUAGGUAAUCUGCCUUCAGGUCUGGCAUAACUCCGGGAAACCGGGGCUAAUAGCAGAUGAUGCAGCGGCUCGACAUCGAGACAGUUGUUAAAGCUAUGGCGCCUGAAGAUGAGCCUGCGUCUGAUUAGCUAGUUGGCGGGGUAACGGCCCACCAAGGCAACGAUCGGUAGCUGGUCUGAGAGGAUGAUCAGCCACACUGGAACUGAGACACGGCCCAGACUCCGACGGGAGGCAGCAGUAAGGAAUAUUGCUCAAUGGGAGAAAUACUGAAGCAGCAACGCCGCGGGAGGGACGAAGGGCUUUUGCUUGUAAACCUCUGUAGUGAGAGAAAAAAAUCCCAAUCUUUGGGACAUGAUGGUAUCUCAAAAGUAAGCCCCGGCUAACUACGUG
rnacentral:rRNA from 1 species